UUCGUUACGUUUACAUUCUGUUCCCGACGUCGCGUUGUGCGGAGCCAUUACCCUCGUCCGCGCUAAAGCAUCGUGCCAUAUUCCCACUCGCGCCCUGAAAUUGACCGCGUUCUCGUAGUUUUAAGUGAAAUAUUAUGAGAGUGAAGACCGAAAUGGACGACGACGAAAAGGGAAAAUUGUUUGUUGGUGGAUUAUCAUGGGAGACAACCCAAGAAAAUCUCCAACGUUACUUCGGCCGUUAUGGUGAAGUCAUCGAUUGUGUUGUUAUGAAAAACAGCGAAUCUGGUCGCAGUCGUGGAUUUGGAUUUGUAACAUUCAGCGAUCCCGCUAAUGUUUCUCUGGUCCUUCAAAAUGGUCCCCACCAGCUUGAUGGACGUACGAUUGAUCCAAAACCGUGUAAUCCGCGUACUCUACAAAAGCCAAAACGCAGCGGUGGUUUCCCGAAAGUCUUUCUUGGUGGCUUGCCAAGUAACGUGACGGAGACUGACUUAAGAUCCUAUUUUACUCGCUUUGGUAAAGUCAUGGAAGUAGUCAUAAUGUAUGAUCAGGAGAAGAAGAAAUCAAGAGGAUUCGGCUUUCUCAGUUUUGAGGAUGAAGAAGCAGUGGACCGAUGUGUCGCAGAACAUUUUGUCAACCUGAAUGGAAAGCAGGUUGAAAUUAAAAGGGCAGAACCGCGGGAUUCAUCAAGCAAAAUGAACGAUAGUCAUCAGGGUCAGUGGGGCCCACCUCAACAGGGUGGCCCACCGAUGGGAAUGGCCGGAAAUAUGGGGCCUAUGGGUGGACCGAACGGGCAGAUGGGUGGGCCCAUGAUGGGAGGACCCAUGGGUCCGCCUGGUAAUAUGAUGCAACAAUAUCAGGGUUGGGGUACCAAUCCGCCAACCGGUGGAUACGCGGGUUACAGCACCCAGUACAAUGCUCAGGGCUGGGGCGCACCACCAGGACCGCCGCAGCAGCAGCAAAUCCCGCCGCCGCCGCCGCAUCAAUGGGGUGCUAGCAGUUAUAACGUUCAACCUACUGCAGCUACCCAAGGUUACGGAAGCUAUGGUGGGCCGGCGGCGGCCGCUUCAGGGGGCUACGGGCCCACGGCGGGUACUGGCGGGGCUGCGGGAGGCGGGCCUGGGGGCUCCUGGAGCUCCUGGAACAUGCCACAGAAUGGGCCUCCUCCUGGGACCCAGCCCCCACCCCAGCCCCCUCAGCCCAACUCCUCGCAGCCCAACUCCAACUCGAACCCCUCUGGCCCGCAGGGUGACAUGUAUUCGCGGCAAAAUACCGGUUCUGGUGCGCCGGGAUCCAGCAGCAGUUCGACCAAGACUCCAGAUUACACUGGGUACUCUGCAUACAGUAAUUACCCUGAUACUUCUUAUCCUCAGCGUUCGUAUCAAGGAGGAGAAAAUAGUCAAGGUGGGUAUGCCGCCAGCGCUCCUAAACCCGGCCAGCAAGGCUUUGAUUUCAAAGAGUGGCCCACCUCAUGACCAUUUUAAUUAACUCGAGUUGGAGAGAUGCGCUGAAUGGCUUGGCCUUGCUCGUGGGUUAUUUCUUCAUAUUCAAGAUAAACGCAAACUGUAUGUUGAUCGUGAAAUCUGCGCCAUGACAUGAGACAUUCUUCUGUCGAUUCACGUUUCUUAAGCAUUAGAAAUGCCAUUUAGAGGAAGAUACCUGUCAUUUAGAGAAAUUUGGCACUAUGUAUUUUUGUAGAAACCAGCCAAUUAGAGUUAUGAUUAGUUGUACAAUAAAAUACUCGAUAAAAAAGUCGCUAAGAUCUGCAAACAAAAUCGACGACAAAAAGCAAAGUGUCUCUUGUUCAUGCCAGCAUGUCGUUCGCGAGCGGUCGAAUUAACGGAUACCUUUUUUUUGAUAAUAUCGAAACACAUCUUGUAAACUUGGCCAACGGAAGUAUCAAAGAAGGAGUUUAAGGCUUUUUUCAGAUAUUGAUUUCUUCAUUGAUCGCUCGUGAGAACGGCUCACGAUCUUUCUGGAUAAAGAAUAUAAAUUAAAUAUUCAUUGUUAAGUAAAAUAAACAAAUCGACAGUGUUAGGGUACAUACCCAUGAUGCAAGUGAAGUUUGUAUGGCACUGGGAAAUAGACGAAAGGAAGCGCGAUAUUAAAUUGUAAAAAUACAAAUAAUGUGCUAAAAAAAGAUUCUAAAGUGUGUAAACAAAGUAAAAGCGAGCGUAAAGAAUCAGGAAUGCUAAUCAUUUAAUCGUUAAUGGCAUUUAUUAUGGAGGUGAAUAAGUUUUCGUUCGAGAAGAAAUUCUUCUCAAGGCAAGCACAAAAUUAGAUGCUUGUUCACUUCCUAAUCGUUAGCAGACACGGUAUAUGUAACACAGAUGAUAAGAAUAAACGAAAAGAAAUAUUUAAACUAUGGUCUCUGAUGGAAAGUCAGCGCGAAUGACUUGCACAUUCGAGACACUCGUCCCUCCACGAUCUUGUAUUUAUUAAAUAGUUGUUAUUACCGGAUAAUUGAAGAAAAAAAGAAAAAUGAUAUAACGAGAUAAUUGACGAGAUAAUUAAGUAAGACGAUCACACAGGCUGACUACAGAGAAUAGUGUAAAAUAUAUAGAACAUUUUAAUAUGGUGUAUGUAUAUCUAUAUAAAUCUUUGACACACAGCAGCAGGAUGCGAUUUCUGUAGGCGUCCUUUUUUUUACUUUCAUGUCAUAUCACUAGUAAUAUCUUAAAUACGUAUUUUCCUCAGUUCCUUUUUUCUCUUUUUUCUUGUUUACUGAUACUUUGAAUACUGAUUCCUUAAAUUAGUUUAGCAAGCUGCUUUCCUAUUCUUCCAACGAUUUGGAAAUGAUAUCAACGCGCGAAAUGGGAGGGGACAAGGAGAAAAGAAAACCCGACAAACAAUCAUAAAUAUUUUUACAAAUUGUAUUAUAAGAACUUAGUGUGUGGCCGUCGGACUGGCUUCUGUUCGACCAUACUGUAAUGCACGUGGAAACUGGUUUAUUUUUUACCUCCGAUUUAUAAUACUAUUAGGCACGUUUAAGGCUACGAUUAUUAUUGUUACUAUUAAUUCUAUAUUAUUAUUACUAUUGUAUACAACUAUUAUUACUAUUAAUACUUAUCACUGUUUACUCUUGCUAUAUUGCUACUACUGCAAGUACUACAACUGCACUAUUACUAUUACACUAUCAUUACUGUCGACGAUAAUUAUGAAAUAUGCGAUGAUGCUUAUAAGUGUUUAAAUUUUAGAUCAGUAGAACGAGAUCAUUGAUAGAUAAGGUGGAGGGAGGGGUAUAUUGUAAUCGUGUGGAUAUGUCUCGGUGGGGGAUAUCGACCUGAAAAGUUUACCUGAUUAAAUAUAUGACUUAAUUGUAUUUACUCUGUAGGAUUUACCAUAGAUCUAAACGAGGAAUAUUUCGGAAGAGUGCUCUCCAAAUGCUCAUGUUUAAUUACCGAGCGGGUCGCGUUGUGUCUUACUUUAUCGAUGAGAAUGGCGAGUAUUAUGCUAAUGUAUAAUUCACCAAGAUAGACCUUAUAUACCACACGUAAAGGUGUAAUUAAAUAGAUUACGGUUACAGAAUCCAGCAAUUUCGUUAAGCGUUAUAAAUGUGAUCUCAUAUAACGUAAUUUUACUAUUGCCCAUAAUUUUUUUUUCCUUGUCCAUCGAACGACAGUGUAAGGCUUCAUUGUAUCUUAAGUGCAAAACGAUCGACUGCUAAUUUAAUUUUUCUUCGCAUUCUUUCCGUUAUUCAUUUCGCUGUUUCAUGUCAUUAGUGCUUGUUACGCAUCCUGACAAUAAAGUGUUGAAUCGCGUUGCAUUCAAAGCUGUAGAAUAAGCCAAUCUUUUUUUUUACGACUGUAUUUAUUACCGGGGUAUAUCGAUCGACGUAUCGAUUUCGAAUUUAGAAACCACUUUGCAUUUUGUUAGAAAUCUUAUAAUGGUAACUUCUCUUUUUCGUCUGCGACGAAAUGUAUCGCAGAGAAAAAGCCGGUGUUGUACACGCCAAUCGGAUGAAGAAAAAAAAACGAGUGCAAUGUUAACAAACGCGACUCGUGUGAACUUUUGGGAUCAACGCAAUAACACAAUUAACUAAACACAUAACGAAACAAAAGUGCGAACUAGAGAGCUCAAUCAAACAACCAAUUUUACACCCUAAUUAUUAUGAUAAUACAAAGGAAACAGAUAAACGAUAUACACUCAUGAAUACGUAUUCACACACAGACACACACAUACUUUUACCUCUAAACGCGCAAAAUAAGCAAACUAAUUAACCUUUUAGCGCUGCGGCUGUUCUAAAAUUUUUAAUAAAUAAAAUUAAAAUGCAUUAUAUUUAUAUAAAUUCAUUAUAUUUUAAGUCCUAUAUUGUAAAUAAAAUUUCAAUACAUAUAUACAAUGUAACGAUGUCAAAUUUUAGUAAGAAGACAGAGUUUCGAUGUUGAUUUACUUAAACUUUUAUUUGCCUCUACUCAAUUUGGAUUGAGAACUUCUAUAAAAGCAAAUCCUAAUUUUCAAUUUUAGUUUUUAAUCCCGGAAAAAAAAUAUAUUUACAGCGUUUGCAAACUAAAGGGUUAAAUAGUUAACAUAUUAUCGAACAUUCAAGCGAUAAAUUCGUAAGGGAAAAAUAUAUAAAUGAAAACGUGAUGAAAAAACACUAUGGUUGUUCUAAAUAAAUAACGCGUUAUUUAAUACCUAACUUGCAAAGGAGGGAGCGGCAAAUAAGCGACGUGUUUUAUCUACGGCUGUUUUUUACAAUUUAUUUUAUAGAGAAUAAAUACCGAUAAAUAACGAUGCGGAAUAAGAACCUUUAUAGUGUAUCAAUUAUAAUUAUUACAACUAAUAUUGUAUUCCUUACUAUUAUCGAUUUUUAACUAAAGUUAAAGCGUGAAUUUUAAAGUCUUAAGUGUAUGCGAGGUGUUAAGGAAAUGCGAUUAUUACAUUUGAUUUGUACAGGACACUUAAGUAUAAUCGAUGCGUUUGGUAUGAGGAUUGGUAUAAACGAGCUAAUUAAUUUAUUAUAUUAACGAGUCUCAGACGGAUAAAAGUAAAUUUAAAUAUUAGCGCGGAGACGGGGGAGGGAAAAAAAAGAAAGGAUUACAAAGAGUUAAUGGCUACAACUAUAUGUACAUACAAAAUAUUUUAGAUUAUGAGACGGUAAUAUAGUUGGGAGAAGGAAGCGGAAGCGGUGGCGCAAAUGAAAUUUAAAAAACACACAAAACGAAGGCAGGACGAAGGAGGCUUUAGAGCGGGACUAUUCGAAUAUAAUUGACGAUUACUAAUUAUAACAGAUAAUAUAUUUAUAUUCAACGCAAUAUUAUUAGUAUUUUUAAAUACAGAAAUGACGCAUCUAAUUAAUGUAACAGAUAGCAUAUAGGGAAGAUAUACUUUGAUUUUAGCCGUUGUUACUACCUGCCUCAUUCGCGGUUUUCGCGAACUGUGCGGCUUGCUCUCAGGGUUGUUGUUGUUCUUUUUUUUUUAUUAUUGUUUCUUUGAGCUCUUUUUUUCCUCCCUGUCUUAUGUUUAUCUACUCUUACUGCUCUGAAUCGCUCGUAUUUAUUUCGUUUUUAAAGGAAGGCACUUUACAUGCCGAGUAUCCUGUAAGGAAACCCUAGGUUCAGUAUUGAAACGCCUUUAUUGCGAUACUUUCGACAAUCCGUCAUCUUUAUUUAAGUAGAUCGAGGCAUCCCUCAUUUCUGUUCUAUAUGGGACAUUAAACACGUUUAAAAGAUAUCUUUGUAUUCGACAUCUGCUACAGAUCAUUAGGUUUCUUAUUCUAUAUGACAAUCAUGACUUUGAGAAACGGGGAGAGCGAAUUGAGUAUUGUAUAUAUUUUUAAAACAUUUUUCUUAAAAAUGAAACAAUUUUUUUGGUAAAAUUAUUACUGUUGGAUUAAAAAUAUUAUCUAUUUGGGUUGCUUAUAAAAAAUUCGUUUUACUGCUUAUAAGAAGUUUGACUGUUAGAACUUUUUUAGAUUUCAAUUAAUUUGUUUUUAUUUCUUUGCGGUGUUACGUAUGCUUGCAAAAGAGCUGCAAAUUUCAGCAGUUUUACUUGUUUUUUUUUUAUUAAUGCUAAACUAAUCAUCGUGCCAGUUUUCGCAAUUUAUAAAUUAUGAUGACUUUCCAUAAUUGUAAAGAACGUAUCCGUAAUUGUAAUCUCUUAUUUCAUUUCUUAAAUAAAAAAUGAGAAAUUUUAUUAUUUUUUCACACACACACACACACACACAACGUACACGCACACAUACACAUACACACAAACACACACAUGUAUCUGUAAAUGCCUCUCUCCGUUUUUCAUGCAUUUAGACGAUUUCGUGUUAAACUAUUUUUUCAACGUACAGUCGGAGCGAAACACAGCAUAUAUAAAGAAGGAAACUAUAAAUAUUACAGCCACUAAGUUAAGUCGUUGGUUUUUUCUCUAUUAACUUAAUUAGAUAAUAUGUGGAUUCAUCUUUGUUCAUCCUACAAGCGAAUGCGUAGCAUGCGAGUUAGAUUUUUUUUGCCAAGCAAGUUAAGUAUUUCGAUAUUUAAAGAAAUGUCCUUAAAUGUAUAAAUAAUUCCGGGGACGUCGCGAAAUGUCUGUUUUUAACGUUAAGCGCACGUUUUAUCGUCCCGCACACUAAAGACUGGUCGUAUAAUUAAAUAUUACACUUAACUACUUAUUACUCGUAUCGUAACUCCAUCGUGGAAAAAACACUUUCUAUUGAUAUACAUGAGUUUCUCCUGCCGUUUUUAAUUAUUAUAAUAUAUGUGUCUUAGUUUGGUACCGCAAUGUGUAAUCAUUGGCUGUUGCAUUUUCAUCAAAGCGAUUGUUAAUCUUUAAAAUUGCGAACAUCGCGCAGUUCCUCUUCUUUAUUAUUAUUUUUAUUAUUACCAUAGUGCACCAUAAUCUCUCCAACGGAAUCGCGUCGUUCAAUAGCAGAUAGGUAAGACCGAUAUUAGACAGGGUGGGCAUUUAUCUGCCGAUAAACCGUGAGAUCUGGUCGAGAAACGAACAUUAUAGUGCAGCCGCGAUAACGCGUCAAAUUAAUCGAGAGAAGAAGGACACAUUUUCGGCGAUAAGGUAUCGUUUCGUCACUGCCUGAGUCUACUCUUUGUCAAAUCGAUCUUGCUUCGUUUCGGAUAAUUGAAUAUCGACACAACGUAAUUUUCGCGAAGAACCGAAAACAAAUAUCGACGUACGAUUCCCCUCGGAAAUCUCGACAAGACCAAAACCUUAUUAUUAGCCUGCUUUUUCUUUAGCUGUAUUAAGACAAUGCGUGAGGUCAGAUAAUAAAGAAGAGGCCGCCGGUAUAUAUUGUACUCAGGUAGUGUGAUAAUCGCUCGCACGUGCGGGCGCGAGUAUAAGGCAGUAAAAAAAAAUAAUAAUAAUUUCAAAUGAGACAAAGCUGAUUAAUAUAAGAGACAAAUGUGUUAUACACACACGAGAUAUAUUCUAAAUUACGUUUACAUAGAAGCAGUUAAGGCAUUAAAUUAUAAUUACAAGGUGAUUUUCUCUCCUGCGAGUCUGAUAGGACAAGGUAAUUAUUGUCUUAAACGUAUAUAGUAAUGCGAAAAACAAUGUAGAGAUUUAAACAAGUGAGUUUUAUAUAAGGGAAAAUUCUAAAAUAUGUUUAUGUUAAGGUUUGUGCAGCGGGCUGAUAUUUCAAUCGUUACGAGAGGAGAAAAGAUGAGAGAAGGAGGAAUUGAGAGGCCGCCUUAGCGGGAUAAAUCACACGCAAGACAGUCUAUACUCUAUCCACGAUUCUUACACACACACGCACACAAUCCAAUGAUCCGAAAAUACACAGUACUGAGAAGUAAUGAGUGUAUCGGGAGAGUGAUCAGCGAUUUUUAACAAACAAAAAAAACCACGAGUGCAUUAGCGAAUUGGGCAAGUUAGCUAGGAGAUGAAACGAAUAAAUAAAGUCCUAUAAAACGUAUAAUUAUUUUGAUCAUCGAAUCUUGAGGCACGUGAUCGAGAGACUUAAUGAUUCUCAGAUCUUAUUAGAUUGCUUUGAGAGCCACUAAUACAAAAAAAAAA